AGAUACAUAUGUCUGUCAAGCUUUACAUUUUAAAUAUGUAUAACAAAUGCUAUGUAUAUAAAAUUUUCUUGGAAGAUUUUCACAGUUCAGAAGUUAACUGCUGUGUAUUAUAAUUGUAUCUGAUAUGCAUUGUUUGUGUUUUGAAUUCAAUGUAUAGAUUAGUUGUAUUUCAAAAUUCAGUUCUCAUCACAAUUCCCUAUCAUUUGUCUUCUAUUGGACAUUAUUCAAAGUGUGAUUCAUGUAUACAUUUAUCUAUACUAUGUGCAUGAUGUGGUUACACAUAACAUAACACAGGUCAGAAGUAAACUGAUGUGUUUAUGUCUGCUGUAUAGUUUUUUAACCAUUGUUUCUGUUGUUUGAUUUUGUCAUUUGAGUAACAUGUGCCUACUGGUUCAUCUGAAAAUGUUUGAUUACAUGUAUAUCUGUCUUUAAAACAUGUUUGAUAAUAUAACAAACUUUUAACAUGUAUAUUUUAUAGCAGCUGUUAUAUUAACACAGGGCAGAAGUCAACUGAUGUGUUUAUACUUGCAAGGUUAAAAAUAAGAUGUUCCAAGUGGUAUUCAAAUUUAUAACUGGUUUGGUUAUAGAUAAUCUGUGCCUUCAUGAUAUAUUAAUAUUUAUAUCUCCAUAUAAGGCAGGCGUUAGUCAUUGCCAUAUGUGUUGUAUGUACUGCCAUCUUUCAUAUUGUUGACUACCAUGAUCUGGCUAGUCCACUUUGUGUGGGGUCUUUUGUGCAAACCUGCUGUUUGCUUUUGGUGGCUGUUUUUGGUCAACAAUAUUUUUGUUGCAUGUAUAUUUGGUACAUGUUGAUAAUGUAUACAUCUUUGUUUAAUAUGGGGGAGGUCAUUUGCUCACCUUUUAUAACUUACAUUCAAUGUCUGGUUAUUGAUAUUAUGACUGUUUGAAGACCUCCCCUUAUUGCCUAUUUUUUCUUAUUAGCAAAAUAAAUGGCAGUACAUACACAC
rnacentral:sRNA from 1 species